rnacentral:tRNA from 1 species
GGCCCCGUCGUCUAGCCCGGUCUAGGACAUCGGCUUUUCAAGCCGCGAACACGGGUUCGAAUCCCGUCGGGGCUA